AGUGAACGCUGGCGGUAGGCUUAACACAUGCAAGUCGAACGGCAGCGCAGUAAGAGCUUGGGCUUCCGGGUGGGGAGUGGGGGGUGGGUGAGGAAAACAUCCGAAUCUACUUUUUCGUGGGGCUUAACGAAGGGAAACCUACGCCAAUACCGCAAAUGACCUACGGUGGAAAGCGUGGGAUCUUCGCAGCUUGCGGGGUUGAAUGAGCCGAUGUCGGAUUUGCUAGUUGGCGGGGUAAAGGCCCACCAAGGCGACGAUCCGUAGCUGGUCUGAGAGGAUGAUCAGCCACACUGGAACUGAGACACGGUCCAGACUCCUACGGGAGGCAGCAGUGGGGAAUAUUGGACAAUGGGGGCAAACCUGAUCCAGCCAUCCCGCGUGGGAGAAGAAGGCCUUCGGGUUGUAAAGCCCUUUUGUUGGGAAAGAAACGCAGCCGGUUAAUACCCCGCUGUACUGACGGUACCCGAAGAAUAAGCACCGGCUAACUACGUG
rnacentral:rRNA from 1 species